AUUAAAGUCAGCGACACUGUCGUGGCGGGAGCUAAAGGACUCCAGAACGCUACGGACCGACGUUGAACGUCACAGCUGCCUAGAGACGGACACUGAGCAACCGCGGUGAGCUGCUAUCAACCCGCGUCUUUUUAAAACGUCCUCUACCUGAAUCUGUGUCGUUGGAAGAAAAAAAAAAGCUUUCAAAAAUGCCGACGUGAGUGAAAAGACGACCGACGGAGGAACAGAGAGGCGGAGGCACAGGGCGACAUGGAGCCAAGGUCGACAGGGGAGCAGAUCCCACUCGGACUGUGUCACUCCACAGCUGCAUGCGUCUCAUUAAUGUUAGCAGAUGUUGGCAGCUGUGAGGUCAGGGAGGCCAGAUCAUGUGUCCUGACAUGAUUAACGUAUUUUUAAGCAGAGGAAGGAGCAGAGUGAAUGACAUCACGAGGUAGCAGCUUAGAAUCAGGUCUGUCUGGCGGACUCUGGAGCCAAGUGCCACUUCCAUCCUCUGUAAUCCUCACACGGCGGGAACCGAGAGCUUGCAACAUCAACAACGGCCGAGGACUUUUGUUUAAGAGGAGGAACCGUGAAUCACAGCACAUCUUCCUCUGUCUUUGUCUCAGUCUGUUUGCCUUUUAUCUGUCUCUGCCUCUUGGAGAUAUAUAUCCACAUUCACAUUUAUUUGCGGCCAGGCACAGUCUGAAAUUCCUUCAAAACCACAGUCAUCUUUGUUCACCCACACCCAUUCUAAUAGCUUCUCAUAGGCUGACUUAUGUAUGCAGGCAAACACACACACACAUGCACACACACACAUUAAAUGAACCCUUUUAUUUUAGGGAACUGAAAGAAGGCCUUCCUUAUAGACUUGUUUUUUUCUUUUUUGCUGUAAGAGAUGUCUUGCAUGCAUGUGAAAGCUGUCUCUGAGUUUUUAAUGUUUUUAAAUAUACAAGUAUAAUCUCUUUACACACAAACAUUUAGUCACAGAUCGCUAG